UACGAUUCUCAGGAUAUGAUAAUUGGACCUG
rnacentral:piRNA from 1 species